ACUCCUACGGGAGGCAACAGUGGGGAAUAUUGGACAAUGGGCGCAAGCCUGAUCCAGCCAUGCCGCGUGAGUGAUGAAGGCCCUAGGGUUGUAAAGCUCUUUCACCGGUGAAGAUAAUGACGGUAACCGGAGAAGAAGCCCCGGCUAACUUCGUGCCAGCAGCCGCGGUAAUACGAAGGGGGCUAGCGUUGUUCGGAUUUACUGGGCGUAAAGCGCACGUAGGCGGACUAUUAAGUCAGGGGUGAAAUCCCGGGGCUCAACCCCGGAACUGCCUUUGAUACUGGUAGUCUUGAGUUCGAGAGAGGUGAGUGGAAUUCCGAGUGUAGAGGUGAAAUUCGUAGAUAUUCGGAGGAACACCAGUGGCGAAGGCGGCUCACUGGCUCGAUACUGACGCUGAGGUGCGAAAGCGUGGGGAGCAAACAGGAUUAGAUACCCGGGUAGUCCCA
rnacentral:rRNA from 1 species